CCUACGGGAGGCAGCAGUGAGGAAUAUUGGUCAAUGGGCGGGAGCCUGAUCCAGCUAAGUCGCGUGAGGGAAGACGGUCCUACGGAUUGUAAACCCCUUUUGCCGGGGAGCAACGGGGUCCUUGCGAGGGCCCGACGAGAGUACCCGGAGAACAAGCAUCGGCUAACUCCGUGCCGGCAGCCGCGGUAAUACGGAGGAUGCGAGCGUUAUCGGGAUUUAUUGGGUUUAAGGGGGGGGUAGGCGGGCGGUUAAGUCAGCGUGAAAAUGUCGGGGCUCACCCCCGGACUGCAGUUGAAACUGGCGGGCUAGAGUGGGGGAGAGGUAUGCGGAAUGCGUGGUGUAGCGGUGAAAUGCGUAGAUA
rnacentral:rRNA from 1 species